AUUGAACGCUGGCGGCAUGCUUUACACAUGCAAGUCGAACGGUAACAGGUCUUCGGAUGCUGACGAGUGGCGAACGGGUGAGUAAUGUAUCGGAACGUGCCCAGUAGUGGGGGAUAACUACUCGAAAGAGUGGCUAAUACCGCAUGAGAACUGAGGUUGAAAGUGGGGGACCGCAAGGCCUCACGCUACUGGAGCGGCCGAUAUCAGAUUAGGUAGUUGGUGGGGUAAAGGCCUACCAAGCCUGCGAUCUGUAGCUGGUCUGAGAGGACGACCAGCCACACUGGGACUGAGACACGGCCCAGACUCCUACGGGAGGCAGCAGUGGGGAAUUUUGGACAAUGGGCGCAAGCCUGAUCCAGCAAUGCCGCGUGCAGGACGAAGGCCUUCGGUUGUAAACUGCUUUGUACAGAACGAAAAGCCUCUUCUAAUACAGGGGUGCAUGACGGUACUGUAAGAAUAAGCACCGGCUAACUACGUGCCAGCAGCCG
rnacentral:rRNA from 1 species